GCGUCAUUUCAACCAUCAAGCCCCCGGCUUGUGUUGGGGACCUGCGGCUGCCGCAGGCCCUGAAACCAGUGGCGGGCUCGCUAGUCACUCCGAGCGUAGUAAUACAUCUCGCUCAGGGCGUGCUGCGGGUUCCGGCCGUUAAAAAGCCUUAUUUACCCAAGGUUGACCUCGGAUCAGGUAGGAAGACCCGCUGAACUUAA
rnacentral:misc_RNA from 1 species